rnacentral:rRNA from 1 species
UACGAAGGGGGCUAGCGUUGCUCGGAAUCACUGGGCGUAAAGCGCACGUAGGCGGAUCUUUAAGUCAGGGGUGAAAUCCCAAGGCUCAACCUUGGAACUGCCUUUGAUACUGGGGAUCUCGAGUCCGGAAGAGGUUGGUGGAACUCCGAGUGUAGAGGUGAAAUUCGUAGAUAUUCGGAAGAACAUCAGUGGCGAAGGCGGCCAACUGGUCCGGCACUGACGCUGAGGUGCGAAAGCGUGGGGAGCAAACAGG